UACGUAGGGUGCGAGCGUUGUCCGGAAUUAUUGGGCGUAAAGAGCUCGUAGGCGGUGUGUCACGUCGGCCGUGAAAACCUGCAGCUUAACUGUGGUCUGCAGUCGAUACGGGCAGGCUAGAGUUCGGUAGGGGAGACUGGAAUUCCUGGUGUAGCGGUGAAAUGCGCAGAUAUCAGGAGGAACACCGGUGGCGAAGGCGGCCAUCUGGGACAACACUGACGCUGAGGCACGAAAGCGUGGGGAGCAAACAGG
rnacentral:rRNA from 1 species